rnacentral:misc_RNA from 1 species
GAAAUGCGAUAAGUAGUGUGAAUUGCAGAAUUCAGUGAAUCAUCGAAUCUUUGAACGCACAUUGCGCCCUUUGGUAUUCCAAAGGGCAUGCCUGUUCGAGCGUCAUUUGUACCCUCAAGCUUUGCUUGGUGUUGUGCGUCUUGUCUCCAGUUCGCUGGAGACUCGCCUUAAAGUAAUUGGCAGCCGGCCUACUGGUUUCGGAGCGCAGCACAAGUCGCGCUCUCUUCCAGCCAAGGUCAGCAUCCACAAAGCCUUUUUUCAACUUUUGACCUCGGAUCAGGUAGGGAUACCCGCUGAACUUAAGC